CCUACGGGUGGCAGCAGUGAGGAAUAUUGGUCAAUGGGCGCGAGCCUGAACCAGCCAAGUAGCGUGAAGGAUGACUGCCCUACGGGUUGUAAACCUCUUUUAUAAAGGAAUAAAGUGAGGCACUUGUGCCUUUUUGCAUGUACUUUAUGAAUAAGGAUCGGCUAACUCCGUGCCAGCAGCCGCGGUAAUACGGAGGAUCCGAGCGUUAUCCGGAUUUAUUGGGUUUAAAGGGAGCGUAGGUGGGUUGUUAAGUCAGGUGUGAAAGUUUGCGGCUCAACCGUAAAAUUGCAAUUGAUACUGGAAGUCUUGAGUACAGUAGAGGUAGGCGGAAUUCGUGGUGUAGCGGUGAAAUGCUUAGAUAUCACGAAGAACUCCGAUUGCGAAGGCAGCUUAC
rnacentral:rRNA from 1 species